rnacentral:rRNA from 1 species
UACGGGGGGAGCAAGCGUUGUUCGGAUUUACUGGGCGUAAAGGGCGCGUAGGCGGCGUAACAAGUCACUUGUGAAAUCUCCGGGCUUAACCCGGAGCGGCCAAGUGAUACUGUUGUGCUAGAGUGCGGAAGGGGCUACUGGAAUUCUCGGUGUGGCGGUGAAAUGCGUAGAUAUCGAGAGGAACACCUGCGGCGAAGGCGGGUAGCUGGGCCGACACUGACGCUGAGGCGCGAAAGCCAGGGGAGCGAACGGG